rnacentral:rRNA from 1 species
CCUACGGGUGGCUGCAGUGGGGAAUAUUGCACAAUGGGGGAAACCCUGAUGCAGCCAUGCCGCGUGUGUGAAGAAGGCCUUCGGGUUGUAAAGCACUUUCAGCGAGGAGGAAAGGUUGGCGCCUAAUACGUGUCAACUGUGACGUUACUCGCAGAGGAAGCACCGGCUAACUCCGUGCCAGCAGCCGCGGUAAUACGGAGGGUGCAAGCGUUAAUCGGAAUUACUGGGCGUAAAGCGCACGCAGGCGGUUGGAUAAGUUAGAUGUGAAAGCCCCGGGCUCAACCUGGGAAUUGCAUUUAAAACUGUACAGCUAGAGUCCUGUAGAGGGGGGUAGAAUUCCAGGGGUAGCGGUGAAAUGCGUAGAGAUCUGGAGGAAUACCGGUGGCGAAGGCGGCCCCCGGGACAAAGACUGACGCGGAGGCUCGAAAGCGUGGGGAGCAAACAGGAUGAGAUACCCUGGUAUC